rnacentral:misc_RNA from 1 species
CUCGUUACAAAAUGAAUACACAACAAGAAAAGAAGAAGAUCCUAGGAGGCUUUUUCAUCUGAUGCCACAUUAUCAGUGGUCCAAUAAUAUCAUUCUGAUUCGCUCAUAGACUGACAAACAGGAAGGUAAUACGUAUCUAACUGCCAGUACUUCUGUUUAACACCCUCCCACACAGAUUCACCUAAACAAUCCUUCACUGGUAAUGGUAUCAGCUGCGUAGAAUAUCCCAAGCUCUCAAGUUCUAGAGAGACUAGCUGACAGUAUACGAUAUGAAAGAAGGGAUUACCUCCACAUAGACCAUUAAAAAAUGAAUAUAUACCACCUGGCUUCAAUAAUCUAGGAAGAUGUUGAUGAAAUUCCCGCAUAUCUUCAUAAUACUCCCCAUAAGUAUCAAAAAAUAUUCCAUCAUAGGUUUCAAGUUUAGAAAUGACAUCUUGCCACCGACCAAAUAUGAUUUUCACAUUCUCCUUCUCACCCCAACCUGCGCGCAUCAUACGAUCAUAGACCUCUGGAUGAGCUUCAAUAAUAGUGUGUGAUAAAGGUGAAUAUUGUUGUAUGGCUGUAUCUACAAGGCCCAUCCCAAAUCCAAUGUUCAGUAUGUGACCACCAUUUGAGCAGACAGCUUUCGCAUGAGCUUCCAUCAAUGGCUUCUCCCAAGCCAUCAUAAUAGCCUUACUAUCAGAGUCCAUAAUUUUAUCUUCACUAAAAGUGACUCUAUCAUCUAAAUAGUUCCCAUCUGAGUUCCCCUUAGCAUUGUCCUUCCUUGCAAUUGUUCCAAGGAUCAAUUCUGCCUGGAUUGCGG